CGCGGGUGUAGCGCAGCUUGGUAGCGCAUCCGCUUUGGGAGCGGAAGGCCGUGGGUUCAAAUCCCGCCACCCCGACCA
rnacentral:tRNA from 1 species